UACGAAGGGUGCAAGCGUUACUCGGAAUUACUGGGCGUAAAGCGUGCGUAGGCGGUUUGUUAAGUCUGAUGUGAAAGCCCUGGGCUCAACCUGGGAAUGGCAUUGGAUACUGGCAGGCUAGAGUGCGGUAGAGGGUAGUGGAAUUCCCGGUGUAGCAGUGAAAUGCGUAGAGAUCGGGAGGAACAUCUGUGGCGAAGGCGACUGCCUGGACCAGCACUGACACUGAGGCACGAAAGCGUGGGGAGCAAACAGG
rnacentral:misc_RNA from 1 species